rnacentral:misc_RNA from 1 species
CGACGCCGUGCCACAGGGUUGCAGCUGCAUCAUAAACGCUGUUGUUGCAAUUCGACAACGAUCUUUACUUCCGCAACAAUCUAAGUGUAUCCGCGUUGUACAAUUUCAAUUAACUCUUUGUCCAAUUUAAUUAUUCGAAGCCUUUCGAUCGGAACGAUGUACAGAAUUAUUAGAAUAUAUGGCGACCUUAGGUCCGUCUCGCUUGGCCGGUUUGCAGCUGCCUUUCUAUACAACCCCGUGACACCGUGUACUAGGGUGCCCCAUACACGAACCGGCGCAGCACGCCGAUUCACGCACUAAGAGCCUGAAAUUGCAGCUACGCUCUCGAGACAG